CUGGAAUCCCGAAGAGAUUUGGGAGUGCUCGCAAGAGAACCGGAACACAGGUGCUGCAUGGCUGUCGUCAGCUCGUGUCGUGAGAUUGUUUGGGUUAAGUCCCGCAACGAGCGCAACCCUUGUCAUUAGUUGCUACGAAAGGGCACUCUAAUGAGACUGCCGGUGACAAACCGGAGGAAGGUGGGGAUGACGUCAAGUCCUCAUGGCCCUUAUGGGUAGGGCUUCACACGUCAUACAAUGGUCGGGACAGAGGGUCGCCAACCCGCGAGGGGGAGCCAAUCCCAGAAACCCGAUCGUAGUCCGGAUUGCAGUCUGCAACUCGACUGCAUGAAGUCGGAAUCGCUAGUAAUCGCGGAUCAGAAUGUCGCGGUGAAUACGUUCCCGGGUCUU
rnacentral:rRNA from 1 species